CCUAAAGCUUUCUCCUAUUAAAAAGCUUGGUUGGAGACAGGUCUCAGAAAGUCUCCUCUCUUCUGGGUGCGCGGGGCACCGGGGCAGCCGGCUCAGAGGCAGAUGGAGGCACUAGGGAAGCAGAAAGAGGGAUAACACGGAGGCCCUCCUCCUCUCCCCCCAUCCAUACCGGUCACGCAGACACGGCACAAGCAAAGAAGCUGCUCCAGCGCCCAGUCCCACGUGAUCCAAGAGACCCCGCGACACGCGGCGCAGCCGUUGCCAUCCCGGGCGCCCAAGUAGAUAAAGAUAAACUUGUCUUUACUCUUUUAAGAGCGUAAGUCACCGCUGGGAGAGGGCGAGGUAGCAGACAGCAGCUAAAGCCAAGGCAAAGCCACGGGACGGCAUGUAAAAGAACUGCAGCUAAGCAAUCAGAUGUGGCGAUUAAACACGCGUGAUCCUUUAUCAGCGGGACGGGGGCGGCAAACAGGGCUGCGCAGGUGGGAAGUUCAUCCCCCCGCGCGCCGUUGCCGUCAGCGGGAGCCCUCGGCGUGCACACCUCGCCGUCGCAGCCCUGAGAGCAAGCCCACGCGCAGGUACCGCGUAACCACCUAGACGGAUAGGGUGACGGUAUAACGUGGCAUUUGGCAGAUAAAUUAAGGAAAUACAGCGAGAUUCAGGCAGCUCAAGUAAAGGGGUCUGCAGAGCAGACGGCAAUGCAAUGCGCAGCCGUAACGCGGAAGCAGAAAGCGCUGGGAGCGGUGUACAAUCUGGAGGCCACAGCCAAAACCGCACGGGCAACGUGGGGCAGCAGCGCUGCUCCGUGCUGGACGCGACACUCGACAGCGCGCUGCCGGCACGUAACGCCCCGCGGAGCUGGGGCGGCCGUCACUGCCGCGGUGCUCGGGGGGACCAGACGCCAGGCCCCAGGGACGGCGGGGAAGCGAGCCGAGCGCUGCGCUGGCGGCCGCGUCGGAGGUCGUGGCUGACCCGCCGGGGGUCCUCCUGACCCCAAAGCUGCAAUCGGCUCUCAAACCGCCCCGUGAAUAAGUAAGUUCAAUAUUGCGACCGCCAAGCAAUCGACAAUCAUGAGUUAACCCUAAAUCAGCAGAAUAGCUUGAAAACCAUCAUCAUCAUCAGAGGUAUGACACUUCUUUGGCCGUUUUUUCACCCUCAGCCUUUAUGGGGUAACUGAUGUCACGAUUUGAAGAGUUCACGCACAACUUUGAGGAGAGCAAUGCCUAUUUACUUAAGAAAGGUGUCAUCCUAACAAACUCACUUGCCUCCGGGAGCCAGAGUUUUAAGAAAUACCGGAGAUAGGGAACUAUGGAAAAACCCUAAGAGUCGAUCAAACCGAAGCCGCAUGGAAGACAAGUUCAUUCUGCUCCUGAUAUCACAAUAUUUCCAUGUUAAAGAUCUGAACGCUGGACGUCCCUUUGCAUAUCUGGAAACUCUUUAUUUACGAAGCUUGAUUUUUUGAUAUCCCAUCUAGCAUCUAUAGUCAAGGACAUCUCUUGCCCCGGUUCAGAUGUUUCAGUCGAAGAUAGAUUAAUCUCUUUUUCCCUCCCGAUCUGGGACCUGAAACAGCUUUGGGGCGGGAGGGAGGCAGGAAACAAGAGGGGAGUUAAGCCUUUCGCUUCACCUUUACAAAACCAGCCGCGCAGCCUUGCUGUCCCCGGAGCAGGCCCACGUCAUUGCUGUAGCCACAGCCACACCAUCGGCGUCGCCGAGCUGCGGACGACGCGCCGGCUGUCGUGCGGCGACGUGCGAUGGACAAAGCGGUGCACGUGAGCACGCCGCGCCAAGGGCUGCCGCUCCAACGAGCCGGCGUGGUGCAGCGAGCGCUCCUCCAAAUAAAAAUGACGUAAACGUGGCAAACUGAGACUCGUUAGGAGAAGGGAGCACGUUCAAAGAUUUCCGCUCCCCGGUCUCCAAAAUCCCAAAGUGCACACGCGUCCUUAGAUUCAGAAACAACAACUCUGCAUCCAGCUAUCACCCUCCGCCUCCUCCUCCCCCCUUAAAGCUUACAUUUGAUUCUCUUUUCCACUGUAAAGCCUCAAUCAUAUUUACACCUGCUUUGGGAUCUUUACAGACAAAGACGUUUAACGCUGUGAAAUCUUGGGGAAAGGUAGAGCGACAUGGUGGAUCAAUCAGCUGAUGCUUCUCUCCUGCACAGCAGGGGCCUCGAGAAAACCGCCUGCAUUUUGCGCGGAGGCUCUGCGCUCACUGAAUUCUUCCAUUUUUCUUUGGCACUAGCCAAGCAGAAAGAUAUCAAAAAAAAAAAAAAAAAAAGAGAGAGAGAGAGAGAGAGAGAGAGAGAGAGAAAGAAAGAAAGAGAGAGAGAGCGCGACCAAGCAAGCACAAGCCCUUCCGCAAGGCUCCAGGUUUCCCAGCUAAAGCAAACCGUUGGUUUUCCAGGUGAGACGCCAUUCACGUGUGUCUCCCUGCUGCACAGGGCUCCAGGUGUGGAUGCAGAGGACCUAAAACCUUGAGGUUUUUACACCUAAAAACCAGCCCACAUUGAUCACAGAGCCCCUCGUGCAGGUGGAUCCCGGGAUGCUGAUCAUCCACAAAUAGUUCUCCCGGGUUUUUAACAUCUCUUACCAGGUGACAAGCAAAGCAUAACCUUUAUGAAAGCAUACGCUUAGGGAAGAAUAUUGUUUUUUUCCCCUCUCCACGCAAGAAGUGCCUCAUCUGAAAACGUGAGAGCACAAAGAAGUGGGCGUUAACGUCAGGGUAAGGAAUCAAGCAAACAGGGACAAGCAGUUAAGUUACGCUACCUUUGGGGGGGCCACAGAGGGGAUCGCUCCUUUCCCUUCAAAUAGCUGCAAUGCAAUUUUCAAAAUAUUUGCAUCCACUUAUUGUAAUACACUUGAAAUACCACAUUCUUGGUCCUUAAUAGUCAGUCAUGGCAGAGAUACCCAGCUCUUACCGAGAACUUAAAGUCAAGGCCUUGGACAAACAUCCUGUGCUUGCAGGGAAUGUGGUCGGGCACUGGGAUCCUGAAAAGCUCUUUCCCUUCACAUAUUUUUCAAUAUCUUAUUUUUGGUUAGAAAAAACAUGUUCAUUUCUAAUACUUUGUCACUAAUGUCACCAUUUUUUAAAACUCUUCAUGCGGAUCUGUCAAGGAAACAUUUUAGUUUGGCAAUUUUUCAUUCUUUCAUCCAUGGUUUUCUCUUAAUAAAUACUGAAGUUGA